UCGUUUUUAGCAUGUAGUCUCUCUCUCUAAAAAUAAACAUUUAGACGAUCACAACUCCAUACGUGGUUGUUUUGAAAGGAUUGUUUUGAAAGGAAAUAAUUUGAACCCAUUUUGGUUAUAUAUCACAGGCGAGCAGGCGAGAAACCGGAACUUUGAUCCAAGUUUUAUGCGUAAGUGAAUUUAUUUUUCUGAAAAACAUAGUCUGC
rnacentral:lncRNA from 1 species